UUUCAGACUGGCCAGCUCACACAAUUGCAUGCUGUCUUUCUCUGGAUCUAUCUGGACCUGUGUCUCUACCUGGUGUUUACUUCCAGGCCUGAAUCUUUGAGCCCUUUGACAGUUCUUCUAGGCAGUUACCCGAUUCUACUCUUGCUCAGUAAGUACCUUGUGCAUGUCUCUGUCAUUCCAUUGUGUUAUUGUAAUUGUUGGCAUGUGUGUCUGUUUCCCCAAACUGAUCUUCGAGUGUCCUGCAAACUAGGACUUGAUCCUCCUAACUUGUGUAGCUCAGGUACCCAGUCUGCCUGCCAGCUAAGAAUUUGUCAGUAUUUGUCUACUGGGUAAAAAAGUUCAGCUCUGACCUGACAUCUUAGGUGUGAUACCAGGGCUGGCACUGUGGCCUAGGGGGUUAAGACACCACCUGCAGUGCUGGCAUCCCAUGUGACGUGGGUUUGAUUCCUGGCUGCUCAGCUUCCAAUCCAGAUCCUGGCUAAUGCACCUGGCAAAGCAGUGGAAGAUGGCCCAAAUAUUUGGGCCCGUACACUCACUUGGGAGACCUGGAAGAAGCUCCUAGCUCCUGUCUAUCUCCUGGCUUUGGUCUGGCCCAGCCGUGGCCAUUGUGGCUGUUUGGGGAGUGAACCAGUGGAUGAAAGAUCCUCUCUCUCUUCUCUCCUUCCCUCUCUGUAACUCUGCCUUUCAAAUAAAACUAACUUAAUAAAUAAAUCUUUAUUGUAAGACCAGGCAAGAAAUUAAAAGGAAAAGCACUAAAAGGGAUGUAAGUGUGGCCAGAAAGUUCCAGGAGAUGGAGGCAAACAUAUCGUCAACAUCGUUUGUACCAUGGCCUUGUACCGAUGGCAGGUGCGAAAUAUAUUGUGCAAUUUAGAACACCUCAGCGAACCAUCAUCUAAUCAGCAUUUGUUUGCUUUUCAGUUUUUCAAAUAUUUAUACAGAGUGACUUCACCAGACAUUAUGACCAGAUAGUCAGAUUUUAAAAUAUUUCUUAAAGACAUUUUGAAGAAAAUAUGGAAGCAUUAAGAAGGAAAAAGAAAUGCUUGUAACUUUAUUACAGUUAACUAAGAACAGGUUUGUACAGAUCUUCCUAGAUUUUUUUUUUAAGAUUUAUUUAUUUAUGUGAAAGGUAGAAUUAUAGGGAGAGAGGAAGAGACAGGGAGAUAAAAGUCUUCCAUCCACUGGUUCAUUCCCCAGGUAGCUGCAAUGGCCAGGGCUGGGCCAGGCUGAAACCAGGAGCCUAAAUUGGAAGUGGAGCAGCUGAGACUGGAACUGGCACCCUUAGGGUCGCCAGCAUUGCAAUCAAUGGCUUAACCCCACUAUACCACAACAUAGGCUCCUCCAUGAACUUCUUGAAGUACCUUGGUACUUGGCGAUUGCUUCCUGAAAAUGAAUUGUUAGAAGUAGAAUUUUUGGGUCACAGAGUACCAUUUUUUUUUUAAACAGGCUUUUGCUAAGUGUUAACUGAGUGCCUCCUGAAAUAUCUUACCAAUAUCUCUCAAUUCCAGUAGUGUCUGAGGUUUAUAAUGUGUUCUGAAAACAGGUAUAGGCAGAUGCUUGACUGAUUAGUUUUUCUUCCAAGGCAGGUUGUUUUUUCUUAAAUUUUGAAUAUUCUGCAUAAGAUCUUGUUCAACUUGUUAAGCCUAGUAGAGUUUCUACCAAGAUAAAUUAGUAGUCACCCCAUGCUUGUUUGAACAAAAUACUCAAGCAUCCAGAAUAUGAGUAGCCAGUCUUGCAGCAUUCGUGAGUGACUCACUUGUUUGUUUGAAAUAGGAGCACAUGGGAGGAGGGAGGUCAACUGACUCUGAAUCUUCUCUAAAGAGACCUUCAUAUGAGGGUAUCCUGUGAGACCAAAGGACCUGACCCUUACCUUGAUCUUGUCGUGUUUAUUGUCAUAAAAUUGCAAACUAUAACACAUCAUGCAACUAUCUGCUAAAAAACUGUAGCUUUCCAAGGACCAGGAUCAUACUCUUGAGUUUAUACCUUAAUAUAUGUUUGAGAAGAAAAAUGUUUUUAAAGAUAUUUUAUCUGAAAGGCAGAGUUCCAGGGCGGGGAGGGAGCGAAAGGAUGAGAGAGAGAGAGACUGACCUUCCAUCUGGUGAUUCACUCUCCAAAUGACCACAAUGUUCAGGGCUGUACCGGGAUGAAGCCAGGACCCUGGAAGUCCAUCAGGGUCUCCCAGGUGGGUGGCAGGGGCAAGGCCAUUUUCUGCCGCCUUCCCAGGCACAUUAUCAGGGAGCUGAAUCAGAAGUGCAACAGCCAGGACUCAAACCUGUACUCAGAUGGGAUGCUGGCAUUGCAGGCAGCAGCUUAACCCCUCUGCCACAACACUGACCCCUAAGACGAAAUGUUAAAAAAAAGUCAUAGCCUAAGUUGAAUUUUUCUCAUAUAUGUUUUAAUUCAACUAUACUUGUCAUGUUAUAUAAUGGUGAUCCAGAACCGUUUUAGAAUGGAAACUAAUCUAUGCAAGCUGUGGUGCUCAUUCCUGUUGUUUUAUCUUGUGUUUUUGUUGUUGAUAAAGGUAAAUUUAUUUAACAUAAAGGAAUAGCUUAUAUUCCAGGAGCUAGGUUUUUAAAAAAUAAGUCUAUUCUGGGUAUAAAUUUAUUUCUCAUUGAAAUUAUUGGAGGCUCUUUUUUUCCAACUGCAUUAAUCCAUUCUCCGUUUAACUCAGGGACAUUAUAAUAUGAGAAAUGGAAUUUAAGUUGUUGCAUGUUCAACUAUUUUUAUUUUGAUGAAAUAUCUUUAAAUAAUUGUUGGAAUUUGGAAAAUCUACCCAUAAUUUAAAGUAGUUCCCAUGGUACCUUUGAAUCAAGGGGUCAUGAGUACCUCUUGCUUCCUAGUGCCUUUGGUCAGAAUUUUCUGUGUUUUAAAGAUUUCCAGGGAAGAGCUCCUUCAUUGCAAGCAUGUUUCUGUGUAAUCAAGUCUGAGAGUCUGAUUCCUUCAGUGCCCUUUUGGAAGCAGCAAGACACACAUUAACCUGAAACUCACUGUGUUCAGAUUCAAUUGCAGAUCACUAGAAAUUUAGACAUUCCAGCACAGUUUAAUUAAGAGAUAGAGGUAGUGUGGGGGGAAAAAAUGACUGAAUGUUUGAAAGACACAGUACGGAUCCUAGGGCCACUGCUGCAGAAGAGAGAUUCCCCCCAGUGUAGCUCCUGCUGCUACUUGAAGUUGGAACCACUCAGUCAAACCACUGGGACUCAGGAUUCUUGGGUUGUGCAGAUCUUUUUAUUGAUGGCAGUGGUUCCCCUGCCCUCCCCAACAGUAAGGGGAGUGUGAGGCCUUGUGGGAAGAAAGGGCUCCACAGGAGUUGUGUGUUUUAGAAAGGGUGUGGUGAGGAGAGCAACACCCCUCUCCUAAUUAGCUUAUUAUGCCAGUUGCCUGACUGAAGAUUAUGUUCAAUUAACGUAAUAGGUGAGAUGUCAUGAAGUGCUUUUCCCACUGGGUCUUUUUCGUAGUUCCUGUGCUCCUCUAUCCCCAGCGAGUCUUCUGCUCGGUUUGGGAGUUUCUCUUGACUCCUGGAUCCAUCACUUGGCAGGAGCCACUGAGUACCACCUCCACUGCCCCUCGGACUUGGAGCUCUGUUUGUUCUCCUUCACAGCUGUGGGGCACAGACGUCCUCAAUGCCUUCAUACUCUGACUAGCAGCAGAGAGGUGUGAUGACGAUGUUCGACCAGUGAGAUGACCUUAACUAUCUCAAGCAUAUUAUGUAUGCGUUUGCCACUUCCUUGUCUUGCCCAGGGUGUGCACAUGUGGAGUGAGUGGGUGGUCCCGCCCAGGUCCAUUUAGCAGGCUGCAGACAUAAGAGGUAUGGAAACACAGGGGUACAAAUGUAAAUCUAAAAGAAACAGUUUCAAAGAUGUUUUCCUUCCUUCUAGCUCCAAGAAAAUUCUUUUGUGAAAUUAAGUAAAAGGAGAAGGAUUUGAAUUGUCUUAUGUGUGCACCCAGCAGUCCUACUGAAGGGUGUGAUUCAGCCUUAGAAAGGAGACCCUGGUAUUUGCAACAAUAUGGAUGAACCUGGGAGACAUUGCACCCCGUGAAGUCUGCCAGGUUGGGAGGACAGCUACCACGUGGGAUCUCCUAUGUGUGGAAUUUUAGGAAGCUGACCCUGUAGAAGGUAGAAUGGUGGUUACCAGGGGCUGGGGGAAGUGUUGGUCGAAGGGUGCCCAGCUUCCCUUAGGCAGGGUAAGUCCUGGGAUCUGAUGAACAGCAAGGUACCUAUAAAGGAGAAUGUAUGCAACUUGUUGAGAGAAGACCUUAGGGGUUUUCACCACCUAGGGCAGCUGUGUGGUGAUGGAUAUGUCAACUAGCCUGAUUUCCCAGUGUAUGACACCCUCCAUAUUUACAAAUUGUAUUUGUCCACUAUAGGGGCAGGAAUUAGAAGGACCUGUACAAUUUCAUUCAUGGACCCUGGUAAAACUCUGUGAUAACUGGUGCCUUCACUUCUAGGGAGUGACAGCAGGGAGGGAAGGCGUUUUGCCAAGAUAGUUUUAUGAUUUCCUCCUCAGCCAUUCUUUCUCAAACCAGGAACAGGGCAGGAGUCUUCCACAAAUCCAUGGAAAAUAUGAUUAUGAAAAAAAUGGCAUGAGUUUCAAGAUUUGAAAGACUUUUGAUUUACUUAUUUGAAGGGUGGGGAGGGGAAAGAGGCAUACAGACAGAGCUCUCCCAUCUGCUGCUUCCCUCCUCAAAUGCCUGCAAAAGCCAGGCCUAUGUCAGGUUGAAGCCAGGAGCUGGGAACUCAGUCAGGGUCUCCUACAUGGGUGGCAGGGAUGCAGGGACUUGAGUCUCCACCUGCUGCCUCUGGGGGUGCACGUUAGUGUGAAGCCAGAAUCAGAAGCAGAGCUUGGACCUAACCAAGGCACUCUGAUGUGCAAUGCAGGUAUCCCAAGUAGAAUCUAAACUACUGUGCCAAGUACUUAUCUGUCAAAAAUGUUUGACACCUAAGUCAACUUCUUUCAAUUCCAUUUUCCAUGAACUUUUUGAAGUACCCUCGUAUGUUCAGGAAAUUUUUUUCAACUAUCUUAAAACCCAUGUUUUAAAACAAUUGUUUUCCCACUGAAAUGGUUUAUAGACUCUUCUGCAUUUUAGUGCAUUUUUCAGAUAGCUCAGGGACGUUCUAGAAACACCGAGCUUUCCCAGAGACAGUGGAUCAGCCCCAGUGUUUAUCUUUCUCUGCUGUUGUUAGCCGUAAAGGUGAAUGCAUCCUCUGAGGGAUGGGCUUUGAAUUUUCUCACAUUUGAUCACCUUUAUUCUUUAAAGAAUGCAGCAUUGUUGUUACUGCUGGGACUCACUCAGGGAGUGUGCACCCCUUCAAAUGCUGGAGCGACAGGCCUCACUGGGUGCAGUGAUUUCUGACGUCUUUACCAAGAGGACUGAUUGCUCCAGUGUUUGUAAUGUCAUCCAAGGCUUCUGAUAAUUUGGUUGUAACACUUUCCUGAAAAUUAGAAAUGGGUUUCUUAAAAAGGAAAAAAACCACAAACUAUAGAAAAGAUACUUAAAAUGUGAAUAAAAACUCAUUAAUUCCAAUUUUAGAAAACCUGAUUUUCCAAGAGACUGUAAUGUGUCUUGAUUUUUCAGGUCCCAGGGGAGAGGCACGUUCCUGUCAAAGAUGUUUAGGCCUGAACACAAGGCCUUCUUAGAGCAAGGCAUUUGUGAGGGUGAUUGCCCAGUUAUGCGUGAUGAAUAUGGUCAGCGUGGAAAUUCAGCUCCAAGAGCAGAAAAGCGUCUCCUGGGAGUUGAAAUAUCUGCGUGUGUGUUUUGUGGGGUGGAGGACAAUGAACAUGUACGAAAGGCAUGGUAUGUCAGGUUCAAAUGAGAGUUGAUUAUUGCGCUGAUAAAUGUAGAAGUCGGUAAUUAAAUCAUGGUAUGUACGGAAAUGUAAGUUUUUUCCUGCUAGUCCUGUUAGGCUAAUUCGUGGCGUUGAGAACCUGCCUCAGAUUUCUUAAUAGAGUUGCCUUAGGUGGCUAAUUAGGAUGAGCUACCGAUGUGAUCAGGAAGCAUUCCACUGCAAGCGAAGUUGCCGAAAGACUAGAAGAAUGGGCGGACGGGCCUCAGGUGGAAUGCCUGCACGAACGGCUAACACUCGUCUCCCGUGGACCUGUGUGUUUCAACACAUUGCACGCACACAGCUCUCAGCUUUUGUGCCAUUUGGGCAUUUUUUUUAAGAUUUAUUUAUUUAUUUGAAAGUUGGAGUUACACAGGAAGAGAAGGAGAGGCAGAGAGAGAGAGAGAGAGAGGUCGUCCAUCUGCUGGUUCACUCUCCAAUUGGCCGCAAUGGCCAGAGCUGUGCCGAUCUGAAGCCAGGAGCCAGGAGCUUCUUCCGGGUCUCCCACGUGGGUGCAGGGGUCUAAGGAUUUGGGCCAUCUUCUACUGCUUUCCUAGGCCACAGCAGAGAGCUGGAUCAGAAGUGGAGCAGCCAGGUCUCGAACCAGCGCCCAUAUGGGAUGCCAGCACUGUAGGCAGUGGCUUUACCUGCUAUGCCAGAGCGCUGGACCCUGGGCAUGGUUUUAUUACCUGGAUCCCAUUUUCCAUCUCCCCACAAUAUUCUAGAUCCUCUUACCGUCUCAGCCACAGGAUUAGUGCUGUGUGGUACUAAGAGAUGAUGUGUCAUAGGAAUGCUUUCAGUGCUGCAGAAAAUCCUUGCAUCGGGGAGGGAGACUUUUCUUCUUCCGUUGUCACAGCAGGUCCAGCUACUCCAUAAUGGCCUUCGGGGCCAGGUCUCUUGGCUUCUCCAGGAUUCUUUCUGGGCAAUGGGCAGUGGACUUCUUCAUCCUGUGGGUUUCUCCUCAGAGUCAAGUUGGAUUCUGUAUCUCCUGGAUUUAUUGGAGGCAGAAACAAGAGGAACUAGGGGAGGGCUUUCUCCUAACAGGGUUUCUCUUGACAGGGAGGUGAACUCUUUCUGGUGACUUCUGCCUGCAUUGUGUUGUGAGAACUGUAUGUGUCCACCACUAGCUAUUAGAGUCUUGUGUUUUUAUCUGAACCCCUGGCUGCCCUGGAAAGUAGCUGGUGUUGUAUUAGAAAGAACAGAAUGAGUUCUGGAUUGGCAGCUCAGAGUGUGCUGCAGAAUGAUAAUAUUAUUAUUCUGCCAAACUUACUUAUCCUGUUGACAGUGCUCAUUUAAAAUGAUAGGACUGCAUGUGCCUGUACUUAAUUUUUUUAAAAAGAUUUAUUUAUUUGAAAGGUACAGUUACAGAGAGAUACAAAGAUACACACAGAGAAGCAGAGAGAAGGAGAGAAUGAAAGAGGAAAGGUCUUCCAUCCACUGGUUCACUCUCCAAAUGGCCGCAAUAGCUGGGGCUGGGCUAGGCUGAACCCAGGAGCCAGGAGUUUCAUCCACAUCUCCCACACGGGUGCAGGGGCCCAGGUCCUCGGGCCAUCUUUGGCUGCUUCCUUAGCAGAAGGACUGGAUUGAAAGUGGAGCAGCAGGGACUGGAACCAAUGCCCAGCAUUGCAGGCAGUGGCCUAACCUGCUGUGCCAGAACACUGGGACCAUUCCUUGUUUAUAGCUCUCUCCUAGGUGCCACCAAAUCUCAGGCUUUUUUUUUUUCCUUAUAUCUCCCUCCCUCCUUCCCUUCCUCCCUUCCUCCCUUCCUCCCUUCCUCCAUCCCUCCCUCCCUUCCUUCCUUCCUUCCUUCUUUUUUUUCCGAUUUAUUUUAUUUUUUUUUUAAAGAGAGCAUUACAGGGAGAGGUAGAGCCCGAGAGAGAGAGAGAGAGAGAGGUCUUCCACCUGCUGGUUCACUCCCCAAAUGACCGCAACAGCCAGAGCUGAGCUGACUUGAAGCCAGGGGCCAGGAGCUUCUUCUGGGUCUCCCAUGCGGGUGCAGGAUCCCAGGCAGUUGGGCCAUCUUUUUAAUUUUUUGACAGGCAGAGUGGACAGUGAGAGAGACAGAGAGAAAGGUCUUCCUUUUCCGUUAGUUCACCCCUCAAUGGCCGCUGCAGCCGGUGUACUGCGGCUGGCACACCACGCUGAUCUGAAGCUAGGAGCCAGGUGCCUCUCCUGGUGUCCCAUGCGGGUGCAGGGCCCAAGCACUUUGGCCAUCCUCCACUGCACUCCCAGGCCACAGCAGAGAACUGGACUGAAAGAGGAGCAACCGGGACAGAAUCCAGCACCCCAACCAGGACUAGAACCCAGUGUGCCGGCGCCACAGGAGGAGGAUUAGCCUAUUGAGCCAUGGCACUGGCCUUGGGCCAUCUUCUACUGCUUUCCCAGGCCAUAGCAGAGAGCUGGACUGGAAUUUAAGCGGCCGGACUUGAACUGACGCCCAUAUGGAAUGCCAGUGCUGUAGGCCAGGGCUUUAACCUGCUGUGCCACAGGGUUGGCCCAAGUGAUUUAUUUCUUUUUAUUUGAAAGUCAGAGUUACAGAGAGAGAGGAAGAGACAAAGAGAGAGAGAUCUUCCAUCUGUUUCUUCACUCCCCAGAUGGCUGCAAUGGCCAGGCUGGGCUAGGCUAAAGCCAGGAGCUAGGAGCUUCUUCCAGGUCUCCCACAUGGGUGCAGGGGUCCAAGCACAUGGGCCAUCCUCCACUGCUUUCCCAGGUGCAUUAUCAGGGAGCUGGAUUGGAAGCGGAGCAGCCAGGACUUGAACUGGUGCCCAUACAGGAUGCUGGCAUUGCAAUCAGCAGCUUUACCUGAUACACCAGAAUGCCAGGCUGCCAAAUCCCAGUUUUCAAAAGGGAUACUGGAGAUUUGUGGGUAUAUUGUGGAUUUUUAUUUAUUUACUUUUAUAGAUUAUCUAUUUAUUUAUUUAAGGAUUUCAUUUAUUUAUUUGAAAGGCAGAGUUACAAAGAGGGAAGGAGAAAGAAAAAGAGAAAUGUUUGUCUGCUGGUUCACUCCCUAGAUGGCUGUAAUAACCUGAGCCAGACUGAAGUCAGGAGCCAGGAACUUCUUCCAGGUCUCCCAUGUGGUUGGCAGGGGCCCAAGCUCCUGGGCCAUCCUCCACCGCCUUCCUAGGUGCUUAGCAGGGAGCUGGAUCAGAAGUUGAGAAGCCAGGACAUAAACUGCCACCCAUACAGAAUACAGCCAAUGGCUUUAUCCAUUACGCCACAGUGCCAGCCCGGGAUUUUUGAAAUACAUGUGUGUGUGUGUAUUUAAAUUGAUGAGAGUACUCUUCUGUCAUGCUGGUUCACUCCCUGGAUGCCUCCAGCUGCUGGGGCUGGGUGGGGGCUGGAGCUGGAGCCAGGAGCCAGGAGCCAGGAGCCAGGAGCCAGGAAUCCAACACAGGUCUCCCACAUGGGUAACAGGAACUCAACUGCUUGAGCCAUCGCUGCUGUGUCACAGGGUCUGCACUGGCCAGAAGCUGGAAACAGGAGCGGAGCUGGCUGGAGCACCCAGGCUCUCCAGUGUGGGUCAUGGGCAUAAUAACUAAAGCAUUCCCUAUAGGAAUUUAUUGUCUCUAAAUAAAAUAUUGUUAACCUAAUAAAAAUUUAAUCACUAAUAGAGAAAGACAUCCUUUUUAAAAAGAUAAAUGAUGUCAGAGCUCAUAGAGCAGAAAUUAUAAAUGUCCCUUUGCACAUCCCUGGACUCAUUACAUGUGUGCAUUCCCCCUCCCCCCCGAGUGGUUGGUUUCUUUUCACAUAAUUGGAAUCACACUCUCUGUUUUGUUCUGCAAGCAGCUGUUUUUUUUUUUCCCUCCCUUGUAACAUCUUUUUUUGAUUCUUUUCUCUUCAGUACACAUAAAAUAGUGGUGUUUUUCAAUGAAGAUAUGUCCAGAUUACCAACAGCAUCCCAUUGAAAAAAAAUGAAAAUACUGGGUCUUUUCAACAUUUCCUUAGAUAAUUAAAAAAUGUGAUUGUGCCAUGACUGCUUCUGCACUGAUGGCUAGUCAGUGUCUCUGAACCUAUCUGUACAUAUGCAAGAGUGUAGUAUCACCUACUAGUAUUGCUGGAUCAAGAAUAUAUGUGUUUAAAAUGUGCUCUCAAAUCACUCUCCAACAGGGCUGCACAAAAUUACAGUCCCAGUAACAGUGCACACAACUUCCCCACACCCCUCUCAACACUUGAUAUUAUCAGUUAAAAUUUUUUUUCAGCCAGCCUAAUGAGAAAAAAUAGUCUUGUUUAAAUUUCCAUUUUCCUGUCCAAAAAGUCCUGUUACAGAGCGCUUUCAAUAUCAAGAUAAAUGACUCAUUGACUUUGGGAGAUAAGCAGUUAGGGUUCAUCUGCUCUGGCUCUCCUGUUGCUGUUUCAUUCAUGUUUCAAAAACAGACUUGUUUAUAAAACAGUACCUUUCUGGGGGUGUCUUUUUCAUCCUGUCUUCAGGAAAUGUCCUUGUAUCCUGAUUGGCAGGGGUCAGUGUUUUGGAGACCUGUGAGUUUGCUCUGGUAUGGAAUGGAGGAGCCAUGUUUUCCAGCUCAUUGCUAUCCAGUGAAUGGGUUGGUGAAAUCAAAUUAGGGAUCAUGCACAGCAUAAUGAAAGAAUGGAAAAAAGGAACAGCGUAGAAAAUGUUGGAGAGUAUCAUAUACGAGUAUAAUAAAGGUAAGAUGUGUUUCAUGAAACUCCUUUCAUAGGAUUUUUGUGUGUGUUUUGAAUGUGCGUGUUUAUAUAUGUGUAUAUAAGCAUUUAUAAUGUGUCUGAGGCUGCAUCGUGAUGUAAAAUACAUCUCUAUGGGUUGAGCAGUGGAGAAUGUUAGCUUUAAAAAUUGAUUACAAGCAUAGUUUAUUUCUGCCCCCAGGCAGCAGUCUCAUACUUGAUUUCAGCAUUCAUACAAAGAAAUCGCCAGUCAUAUCAGUGGCAAGAAAGUUAAAGACUAAGGCUUUUCUGGAAGAGCUUAAGUGCUUAAAGAUAGGUGCCACUGCAUAGGACCUGGAGAUAUGACAGGUGUGGCAAACCAAAUUGGCUCGUGUGCAGAAUGAAAAAAUGAAGAACUGCACCCUGAUGCAUUUCGUUUCACUGAGCAAUUUCAUUUUUCUGUGCUCUGGUGCAUUCACAGCACUUGACUGUCACAGCCAUGUGGGCACUCAGGCAAGAGACAGCAGGGGAAAUCCUUGAAUUUUCACCGAUUCUCCCUGUGAGCAGUCCCGGGUACAACUGAUCAUCCCAGAGUGAGGUUUGCACUCAUGGAAAAUAUUUAGCUCACCUUAGCUCAGUGCUGAUCUUUUGUUGCUUAGAAAAUUACCUGUUGCUGAUUAUAAUAAAUGGUGGUAAUUAAAAUUAAAAAAAAAAGGGAUGGAACAUUCUGCAUGUGGGUGUAUUUAAUUAUCUGGCAGGUGUUCAUAUUUCUAGAGCAUGAAACUUAUGGGUAAACAAUGGCCUUUCUGUUAGAAAUUCUACCCACACUUUUGUGUUUCUUCUCUUUUAUAGUUGGGUAUUUUCCAUUACCUAGAGAGUAAUAGUAUGAUCUAACUAAUUUGUAUGGUAUUGAGGCUUUCCCAAGUGGUUAUGUGUGUGUGUGUGUGUGUGUUUAAGAUUUAUUUAUUUGAAAGGUAGAAUUACAGAGAAGGAGAUAGAGAGAGAGAAAGAGAGAGAGCGAGCUUCCAUUUGCUGCUUCACUCCCCCAAUGGCCACAAUGGCUGAGGCUGGGCCAGGCCGAAGCCAAGAGCCAGGAGCUUCAUCUGGGUCUCCCAUAUGGGUGCAGGGGCCCAAGGACUUGGGCCAUCUUCCACUGCUUUCCCUGCAGCCGGUAUCAUAGGUGGUGGCUUUACUGGCAAACCCACAGUGCCCACCCCAGUUAUAAUUUUGUGUUUGUUUUGCUUCAACCAGUACUAACUUCCUUGCUUGAAAUAUUCAAUAAUUGCAUCUUCAUAAAAAAUGAUAUAAAUGGUGGCCAGCACUGUGGCGUAGCGAGUAAAGCCGCCACCUGCAGUGCAGCAUCCCAUAUGGGUGCCGGUUCGAGUCCUAGCUGCUCCCACUCCCACCCAUGUGGGAGACCCAGAAGAAGCUUUUGGCUCGUGGCUUCAGGUUGGCACAGAUCCUAUCCUUGAGGCCAUCUGGGGAGUGAACCAGCAGGAUAGAACACCUCUCUCUGCCUCUGCCUCUCUGUAACCCUGCCUUUCAAAAAAUAAAUAAUAAAUCUUUUAAAAAAUGAUAUAAAUGAACACAAUUUUAUUUUCUAUAGUUACAAAUUAUGUUAGAAAAAUGGGCUUUAAAGUUCUGUGAUACAACUAUACAUGAAUUUCUUUCAAAUUUUACAAGCAGUUGAUGGUAUUUUUUGGCAAACGUAAACACAAAAUAGUAAGUAUUAUUUUGUUGACCAAACAAGAUAGAAGUGGAGGUUCUUUAUUUUUUAUUUCAAAAAAUGUGUUUAUUUUAUUUGUUUGGAAGACAGAAAAGAGAGGCAGACAAAGGCAGAGAGCUUCUAUCCAGUGGUUCACUCCCAAGUGCCUGCAACAGUCUGGACUGGGCCAGGUUGAAGCUGGGAGCCAGGAACUCAAUUCAAGUCUCCUGUGUGGGUAGCAGGGGCUCAAUUACAUUAGCUGCCACCUACUGCCACCACUGGUGUGUGUCUGCAGGAAGCUGGAAUCAGAAAGCAGAGCCAGCACUCUGAUUUUGGCUUCCCAAGUGGUGUCUUAACCACUGCACCAAAUGCGCGUUUCUGGAAGUUCUUUAAAGACUGUUUAUCACCACAUAAAAUUAUUGAAUAUUAGGGUUAAACCACCACCUGCGAUGCUGGUAUCCCAUAUAGGUGCAAUUUCAGGUCCUGGCUGCUUCACUUUCAAUAUAGCUCCCUGCUAGUGCACCUGGGAAAGCAGAGGAAGAUGGCUCAAGUGCUUGGGUUCCUAUCAUCCUGGCUCCUGAAUUCCACCUGGUCCAGCCCCAGCUGUUGCAGCCAUUUGGGGAGUAAACCAGUGGAUGUAUGAUCCCUCACUCUUUCUGUCUCUCUCUCUAACUCUGCCUUUCAAAUAAAUAAAUCUUUAAAACAAGUUCUGUGUUUUUAAUAUGAAACCAAGAAGGACGAUAUUAAGUAUACUUACUGUGCUACAUUAAAUUUAGGUGAAGCUUUUAAACUCCAAAAUAGUUCAGAUCAUACUGAUACAAAUAUCUAUUUGUAGGAAGGCAUCUUCUGUCCAUCUCAGUGUUUCUUUGGUGGUAUCAAAGUAUCUGAUACCUGUCAUGAUUCCUGAUCUGCAUUUCCUUUCAACUUAAAAGUUUGCUAAUGUAAGAGCUUUGAGUUCUUUGAUGAGGGAGAUACUUCUAUGUCUUUAUUAUACAGGCGAUCCAUCAGAUGAGUACAUAGAUUUGAGAGGUCUUCAAGUGCCUGUAAAAUACGGACUAUGAAAAGCUACAUAUGGAUGUCAAAAAUUUUUGCUCCAAAGUAAAAUAUUUUUUAAAAAGAAAGAUUUAUUUACUUGAAAGACAGAGUUAGAGGGAGGAGCCGGUGCUGUGGCCUAGUGGGUGAAGCUGCCGCCUGCAGGGCUGGCAUCCCAUAUGGAUGCCAAUUCGAGUCCUGGUUGUUCCACUUCCAAUCCAGCUCUCUGCUAUGGCCUGGGAAAGCAGUAGAAGAUGGCCCAAGUCCGUGGGCCCCUUCACCCACGUGGGAGAAUCGGAAGAAGCUACUGGCUCCUGGCUUCUGGCUUCGGAUCGGCGCAUCUGAGGCUGUUGUGGCCAAUUGUGGAGUGAACCAGUGGAUGGAAGACCUCUCUCUCUCUCUCUGCCUUUCCUUUUCUCUCUGUGUAAUUCUGUCAAAUAAAUAAAUCUUAAAAAAAAAAAAAAAGACAGAGUUAGAGGAAGAAAGGGAGGAGAGAGAGAGGGUGAGAGUGUUCCCAUCCACUUGUUGAUGCACUCUCCAAAUGCCUGCAGCACACCAGGAAUCAUGUAAGUCUCCCAUGUGGGUGACAAGCAACCAAAGUACUUGAGCCAUCAGCACUGCCUCUCAGAGUCUUCAAUAGCAAGAAGCUGGAGUCAAGAGCCAGAGCUAGGGCCGGCACUGUGGUGUAACAGGUAAAGCCACCAUCUGCAUCACUGACAUCCCUUAUGGGUGCCGAUUUGUGUCCUGGCUGCUCCACUUGCAAUCCAGCUCUCUGCUAAUGGCCUGGGAAAGCAGUGGAAGAUGGCCUAAGUGCUUGGGUCCCUGUCACGCAUGUGGGAGAAGCUCCUGGCUUCGGCCUGGCCCAGCCCUGGCUGUUGCAGCCAUCUGGGGAGUGAACCAGUGGGUGGGAGAUUUCUCUCUCUUUCCCCCCUGCCUCUUUCUCUGUAACUCUUUCAAAUAAAUAAUAUAAUUUUAAAAAGAACAAAAAGCCAGAGCUGUAUAUUGAAUGCAGAUACUCCCAUGUGGGGUGCAGAUAUCCUAACCAGCAACUUAAGUGCUAGGCCAAAUGCCCACCCCAACUUACCUUUUAAUUCUGUUUUUCCAUGAGCUUUUUAAGUGACCAUGUGUAUUCUCUGGAUCCAUGGUAUCGCCCACUCUGCGCUUUCUCUUCGAAAACAUUUUUUCCAUUCACAUUUUAUCUAAAGAAGUUGCAUCCAGAAAGGGAAGACAAGGUUGGGUUAGGUGAUUUCUGAGUGAGUGUUGAAGUUCCAUUGUCUGCUUCAGCUGUUCUAUUUUGUUCACUUGUGUCAUAACUUAAAAUGACAUAAAUAUUAAUUAAAACACUUGGCUUGAUGAAAGAAGUUCGCAUAUUGCAAGACAGUCUUAUUGAUAGAUGUUUACAAAUGAAAAGCUAAUGUCAUAACAGUUUCUGCUCCAAAAAUCUAUUUUGUUAUUGUUUUUUAUAGGCUCACCCUCUUGGCUUUUUCCUCUAAGAUUUACCCUCCCUAAAUUGUAAUAAGGAAAUUAAAAGGAAAGGGGAUAGUCAGCAUUUAGAUUAAACCGAAGAAAUGCCAAUGGCAGUACUAUAUAUUGAGCUUUUUCCUCUGGUAAGUCAUUUCAUGGUGUUGGUUGGCGUGUUAAGGCUUAACAAGUGAGUUUUAUGGCAUGGUAUCAAAAUAUGAGGCAAUUUAAAACAAUUGGUUACAAAUACACUAAAUUCACUCUAAUCAAGGAAGACCCACACAAAGCCUCCCAGAAAUAAAAUUCCAUGGUACUUUCCAGUGGCUUUACAGAAGGAAAUAAGAAUCUAUGCUAUAUCUAGCUCCAACUUAUGGGAGAUCUGUGGAGUCUCAGGUUUCAGAAUGGCUUCAUUGACUUGAGCUCAUAAAUGGACUGAGUAUGAACUCUGUAUAGACUGAAGAAGUUCCCCCGCCUUUCCCAGUGAGAGACUGGAAGCAGCUGGAAGCGCCCCGGGCUAGAGGUCUGAGAGCCGCUCUGGCUAUAAAGGUUCAGCCACUGCUGCACUAGUCUUUCCGCUGAUUCUGCCCAGGGGUCUGGGGGGUCAGUGAAGUGUCCUGUAGAUACUUGCUUGCAAUGACCUAGGGUACGGCUCUGCUUGCUCAGCUGCUGGAGGAUUAUGGGGUGCAUAAGAAAUAUAAGCCUCUGCAUGCACUUUUAGCAAUAAAUAAGCUAUAGUUAGAAAACUAUAAAGGUCUAGAUUUGUAUACCACCUCUGUGCAGAUGUGCUAGUUUGUUGUUGACUAUAUUCACCUUACCUUUUGGAUUCCCCAUCUGUUUCCCCCACCUAUUAUUUUGCUUUCAAAUAUUUUGAUGAAAUUGUUUUUCAUUCUUGUCUCUUCCAUGUUUCUGAAGGAAAUACAGUGUAAGUCCUGAGGAUGAUCUGUUUUAAUGGGAACACCAAUAAACACCUCCUCCCAGCAUUAAUACCAUUGAGCAGGCCCCUCUUUCUGAGUGUGAGUUGGGUCUGAGUUUUAACUGAUAGAAUCAACAGAACUGAUCCUGUGCAAGUGUUAGGCUCAACCCUUGAGAAGUCCUAGCAGUUACAUUGUAGAAGUCCAGUUACCCAAGUGGAGAGGACCCAUGGAUGGAGAGAUCCUAGGACCAUAUGGGGGCAGAGCCCGAGGCCUGGCCAUCCUGGUAUCUUAGUGGAGAGAAGCAGAAUUGCCCGACUGGGUCUAGCCUACAUUGCAGAAUCAGAAGCAAAUCGUAUUAUUUUUAAGCUAGUAAGUUUUGGGUGGUUUGCUAUGCAGCUAUAGGUCAGACAACACCCCUAUAUUGAAGUUCAUUGAUUAUAUACCUAUUUUUUGUUGUUUUUACAUGCUAGAAAAGUAAGACAUAAAUUUUCACUAAUCAGCUAUUACAGCAGAUUUAUCCACGUAUCAUGUACUGAUAUAGUUACAUCAAAAGGGAAGAAAACAGAUGAAACAGCCAUUGAAGAGACUGUUACAAUGAAGCAUGAACUAUCCCUUCAAGAUCUAUAAAGCAGCAAUGACUUUGAAAAUGUUGGCAAUAAUUUCAAACCACAAAGAUGGAAGAGACAUGUGUAUAAGAACAUUAUCAAUAUUAUUUUUUGAUGGGAAACGUUCUUAAGGUCUUUUUCCUCACAUUUUCAUUUGAUAUUUCAAGCAGAGUGUCUUUGCAGGUUGACUGAUUACAAAUGUUUUCGCCCAGCAUACCAGCUUCUAAAUCUGUCUGGAAGGUGCUUUCUCCAAAAAGUGAAUAAGCAUAGGAAAUAAUUAUUCCUCAAAGUACACAAAACUCCCAAGCCAGCUUUUGUUCUAUAGACAGAUCUGAUUCAUCAAGAAACAUCAAAAUAAUUGUCACGAUUUAAAAUUGUAAAAGAAACCCAGGAGCCUUUUGGCUUCAGUCUAAAACUUGCUGUUGCUUUCUUGGCAGAAGGCCUUGUGUUGAAUAUUUUGUGCUGUACGUUGCUCCAUUUUUGUUUUGUUUUGUUUUUGUAUUUUUGCCCCUGGGACAGGAAACUGCAGAACAAAAUAUAUUCAUUUGGGGAAGCCGUGCUGGUCCUUUUGGGACUCACCAGUUCUGAGUGAUUAGUGCAGAAAGGAGAGCCUGGCACUCGGGUGCUGCGCCCUGGUGGAUGCAAAUGAUGAGCUGAGAUUUCAUUCCUCCAUCACAGAGAGUUUGUCAAACUGGGAAUCACUAUUUUGACACCAGAAGAAUAGCAUUCACAUGAAAGCACCCCACCCCCCAUCUCAUCAUUUAUUUCCUUCAGGCCUCAGUAUGCUGGGUUUUAAUUAAAAUUCUUAAUGGCCUCAGACAUUUUGCAUUUGAAUACACAGUGUUUUCUCCCUUGGGGAUUAAUCUCUGUGACUGUGUGCAAGGAAUUUUAUGUAGAAAACUUUUCUUAGAUUGUAAACUCAAGGAGGGCAGAAUUAGGCUUUAAUUGCUCCUGGCUAUAAACCCAGGUAUCUAGGACAGAGCCUAGCGUUUUUUAAGUCUGCAGUCACACAUUUUUUGAAUUAAUUUUAAUUAUUAAAUUAAAUCAAUUAAAUUAAUUUUGAGUUAAUUAACUUUGUUCCUCCCUUUAACCCCCCCCCCCCCCCGAGAAUUGUUGAUUUUAGGUAAAAUUUCAGCCAUUCCAGUUGGGCAGAUUAUGUUCCUGCCUUUCUUUACUUUUUUUUAAAUAUUUUUUUGAAAAGCAGAGUGACGACAGAGACAAAGAACAAUCUCCCAUCCAUUGGCAGAUGGUGUUAGAACCAUGUUUUUCUGCUUCGUCCCUGAUAUUCAUUGGUUUAUUCUAUUCCAACUCCAUCAAAUAUUGUUAAGAGGUUUAAAUUCAGGUAUCUGCAUAUGCUAGUCUUUUCAAUACAUUAUUUCUCAUUUUCGCAACAGAGCAUUUGGAAUUAGAUAUUAAACAUGUUUAUGUAGCUAAUUUUCAGCCAAUUUCUUAUUAAAAACCUAUAACAAGGAAUUUAUGUCAAAGAUUUAUGUGGUAUGGUAAGAAUGUUAAGAUGUUUCUGGAGUUACUGAAUUGGAAGAUGUUUGGAUAAAAGAGGUGCUUUUGUAUUCCUAUAAUUUUGUGACGAGAAAAUUUCUAGGUUCUUGGGAAAUUGUGCUAAGAUCCUAUGAUAACUGUUUAUAUUGAAAUUUUUCUACUGCUAGAAAGAAUAUAAAGAAAUUUUGAUUUGGCAUUUAUCUUUUUUUCUCAUAUCAUCCUCCAUAUUAUUCAUUAAAAAAUUAGCAAAUAUUUCUGAGGGUUGUUCCAAAACUUUAUGGAAAAUAGAAUUUAAAAUUAAGUUAAUUUUAAGAAAAUUGAAACCCCUGCAUAUGAGGGGUCUUUGAAUAGUUCGUGAAAACACUGUGCAUGAGUUUCAAUUUUUUUUUUUUUUUUAUUCCAUGUCUUGUAUCUCUUAAUUCCAUUUUGUCUUGAGCCUUUUGGAAGUACUCUUGUAUUGAGCACUUAUUUUAUUCCAGGUAUCUCUUAAAUUCCUGGGGUACCUCAGUGGAUAAACUGAUCCCAAUCUCCCUCUCUAGGGAAGUUUUGCAUUCUAGUGUGUAACAACUGGUAUUAUAGGAGGUUACGAGGUGGGAGGAUCUAUGGAAAAAAAUUAAGCAGAGUAAUGCAAUUCAAGGAGACAGAGAGAAUGGGUUAUAAUUUGAAAUAGGCCGAAUGAGCCUCCUAACAGAGGCGACUUUUGAGCAAAGAUGGGCGAGGAGGAAGAAGAUGCUGGGGGUUGGCAGGGGAAGCUUCCUGGCAGAAAGGGGGCCCUGCGUGCAGAGUAGCCAGGGCUGAGCCCGUGGGCUGCAUCCACAGGAGGCUUGGACAGUGUCACGUGGUCCAGACUGCUUCCCACAAGCCUAGCACGUGGGAGCCUUCUUGGAAAUGCUGAUCAUGGCCAGUGCCACAGCUCAAUAGGCUAAUCCUCCGCCUGUGGCGCUGGCACACCGGAUUCUAGUCCCAGUUGGGGCACCGGAUUCUGUCCUGGUUGCCCCUCUUCCAGGCCAGCUCUCUGCUGUGGCCCGGGAGCACAGUGGAGGAUGGCCCAAGUGCUUGGGCCCUGCACCUGCAUGGGAGACCAGGAGAAGCACCUGGCUCCUGGCUUCAGAUUAGUGUGGUGAGCCGGCCGCAGCGACCAUUGUGGGGGUGAACCAACGGCAAAGGAAGACCUUUCUCUCUGUCUCUCUCCCCUCUCUCUCACUGUCCACUCUGCCUGUCAAAAAAAAAAAAAAAAAGUGCUGAUCAUGUUUCACUUUGUCAUCCUAUUAUCAAAUCCUAAAAUAACACCAACAAGAGAAAUUAUUAGAACCACAUAAUGAGAUGGGGCCCUGAAAUAUAUUUCUUUUGUUCUCUAGGGCUGUAAGAAUUUACACAAGUCAUGCACUGCCUCAAUGACAGGUGAACCGUGGUUCUUAAAUUUCUGGUCAGGUCUUAGAGACCUUCUAGAUAUUUAGCAUUCCAGACUAUUGACUUUACUUUCAAGGUUAAAGACCAUUAAAGGCCAGCACCAUGGCUCAAUAGGCUAAUCCUCUGCCUGCGGUGCCGGCACCUUGCGUUGUAGUCCUGGUCGGGGCACUGGAUUCUGUCCUGGUCGCUCCUCUUCCUGUCCAGCUCUCUGCUGUGGCCCAGGAGUGCAGUGGAGGAUGGCCCAAGUGCUUGGGCCCUGCACCCCAUGGGAGACCAGGAGAAGUACCUGGCUCCUGGCUUCAGAUCAGUGUGAUGCACCGGCCGCAGCGGCCAUUGGGGGUGUGAACCAACAAGAAUAAAGGAGCUGGAACAGUGCUAAAAUUCCUAACUUUGUGCCUAUACAUGGCAAGUGCUCCACAAAUAUUCAUUGAUUCUGGAACCAGAAUUUUAAAUCAGAAUAUACAUUUUCAUAUCUGUGUGCCCACAUAGAAAACACAUGUCAGGGAUCAGCAUUGUGGUGCAGUGGGUUAAGUCGUAGUUUGUGACAUCCAUAUCCUAUAUCAGAGUGCUGGUUAGAGUCUUGGCUGCUCCACUUCAGAUCCAGCUCCCUACUAGUGCGCGUGGGAAGACAGUGGAAGAUGAACAGAGUACUUGGGCCCCAAUCACCCCUGUGGGAGACCUGGCUGGAAUUCUCAGGUUCCUGGCUUCAGCCUGGACCAGACCUGGAUCAGACCUGGAUGUUGCAGCCAUUUGAGGAGUGAACCAGUGGAUGGAAGACCUCUCUCUGUCACUCUGCCUUUCAAACAAAUCUUAAAGAAAAAGAAAACAAAAAGUAAACACAUCAAUGUUUUAGACAACAUGUAUUUUAUUUAUUUGACAGGCACCCAUAUGGGAUGCCAACAUUGCAGGCAGUGGCUUAACCCGCUAUACCACAAUGCCAGCCCCUACAUGUUAAUUUUUAAGUUAAUUUUUUAUUAAAAUAAGUUUUUUUAAUCUCUUCUAUUUUGUUUCUUUAUCUUCUGGUUCCUACUCUUUUAAAAUUAAAAUCAGGCUUUGAGAUAAUUUCAGCAUUAAUAGCAGCAAUACUUGUGUCUGUUUGAAAAGGCUGUUUUGUGUGGUUCAUGUCUUUAAGCUUUCAAAAACACACAAAAUUUUCAAUAAACUGCUUGGUAUUUGGGAAGAAUUUGCUUCCUUUUGAAUAUUGUAAUUUAAAUAUAAAUGUUUUGGGGGGAUUCUUUUGAAGUUUUCUUAUUCUACAAUAUCCUUGUCUAAUGGCUCAUAAAAUGAAUUUGAGGAACAAGUUCUGUUUAGAGGAAAGAGAUACAAUUAUUAUACAGCCAACAUUCUUCUCAUGAUAUAGUGUAUUUUGAAGGUACUGGAACUACUUACCUUUUACUGAAAUUAUAAAUCCUUUGAUUUUGUUAAAGUGAUUUCUAAUUAUACCAGAAUUUUAAUGAUCGGGAUGUGCUUAUUUAGGGCAUACCAUAUGAGAAAGGUUAUCUAAGUGCUAAUAUAGUAGUUUUUAAACAUAUGCAAAUGAGUAUGAGUUUGAAUAUUUGCCUGACCAGUUUUAAAUAUUUAAGAUUGUUAAAGAAUUCUAUGACUCAGUUUCCCCAAUUUAAAAAAUAGUGGUUAUGUGUUGUUAUAGUUUCCAAAACUCAUGGGUUGGGGCAGAUUAAACAACUGCCUAGGACUCCCACAUCCUGUUUCAGAGUACCAAGGAUUGAGUUUUGCUUCUGCUUCUUUUUUUUUUUUUUUAAGAUUUAUUUAUUUAUUUGAAAGUCAGAGCUACACAGAGAGAGGAGAGACAGAGAGAGAGAGAGAGAGAGGUCCUCCAUCCACUGGUUCACUCCCCAAUUAACUGCAACAGCCAGAGCUGUGCCAACCUGAAGCCAGGAGCCAGGAGCUUCCUCCGGGUCUCCCACAGGAGCGCAGGGACCCAAGGACUUGGGCCAUCCCCUACUGCUUUCCCAGGCCAUACCAGAGAGCUGGAUCAGAAGUGGAACAGCUGGGACUCGAACCAGCACCCAUAUGGGAUGCUGGCCCUGCAGGCAGCAGCGCCACCCAAUACACCGCAGCGCCGGCCCCUUGCCUCUGCUUCGAAUCCAGCUUCUUGCUAAUGUGCCUGGGAGGCAGUAGAUGAUACCCCAAGUACUUGGGCUCCUGCCAUCCAUGAAGGAGCCCUGGAUGGGCUUCAUGGUUUUAGCCUGGCCCAGCAGGCAUUUGUGGACUGAACCUGUGGAUGGAAGAUCUUUCUGUCUGUCACAACACUUUUCAAAUAAGUAAAUAAAACUUGAAAAUAAAAUAAACACAGCCCAUAGAUUGCACACCGCCAAAGGUGAAGCCUGCUGUGAACUCUGGACUCUGGGGUGGUGAUGCUGUGUGAAUGUGGGUGCAUUGCUUAUGAGAAGUACACCUGUGGUGGAAAGGUUGAUAGGUGAGACUGCAUGCCGAGGGAUAUAUGAAGGGAGUUCAAACAGUUUGUGGAAAAAUGGAAUUAAAUGAUGUUUAUUUUGGUGCCAAAAAGUAUUUUGAAAUCCCUUCAUCUUUUUUUUUUUAAUAACAUACCAUUUUCCAUGAACUUGUUGAAAAACUUGUGUGUGUGUGUGUUGGGAUAUAAGGGAGUUUCUGUCCCCCUCAGAACCUACUCAAAAAAAAAGUCUUUCAAUGCAAAUAGAUCUAAUGAUACCUACACCUGCAGAAAACUGGGGUUGGAGGCCCCGGCCCAGUGCUGGACACAUGGCGGGUCCUCAGUAAAUGGUAGCUAAAAAAAAUCAUCUCCUUUCUUCACUUUUUUGUCUUGAUUCCUUUUCAUCUUUGAGACGUCUUCUACCUGAUCUUUUAAGCUCACCUACCCCUGCCCUAUUCCUCAACCUUUUGAAAAUAAGCACUUAAGUGUUUGAUGAGUACAUUUAUGAAGCAGAUCCAAUAUUUAAAGAAAUCUUAAGAGUAAAGUACUUGGGGGAAUGAUUGCCCUUUAAUUAUAGUGUCUCUCUUUGAACUCUUGAGUUUCCUUUUUAUUAUCUUUCCCCCUCAGCGACCCACAGCCCCUGUCUCCUGGUGCCUGGGGUGACUGUCAUAUAGCCUCCUGUUGGGUCUCCCUGUUAAUCACCAUCUCCCUUUCUCACUCCCCUCCCCUCUUCUAUUCCAGUCUCUGUGUUGCCAGACUGAAUUUUCAAAAACCCUACACUCUACCCCUUUUAUCUUCCUGAAACUGCCAUUGCCUCUCCGUCCCCAUGCUUGAACUCCUUUGCCUGAAUGCCGGGGGUCCUACAGUCAGUGUGGUUUUCUGUGCUUCCUGAAGCAGCCAGUGGAGACGGCCUCUAGCCCUGUAUUCAAGGAGUCUUCUACACGUUCAUGGAAAAUGGGUGUGGUGAUGAGGGUAUGCAUGGAUUUCAGCUCUGUUUUGCACCUAUAUAAAUGUUCUUUUGGUUCCGAUUUCCCACAGACUUUGUAAGGGGCUCUCACCUUUCAGCUGGGUUCCUUACCUGGUGAUUUCUUGGGUGUGCUGUUGCUUCUAUGUAGGUUACUCUUCCUCCUCUUCUCUCUCUCAACUCAAGCCCUUUGUGUGAGAAUGUGUUCACCUUCUACAUCCUUCCCAGGGUCUUUUUUGUUUGUUUGUUUGUUUGUUUUGACUCAGUUCUGUGGGUAUUUUUUUUUCUACUCUCCAUGUAUAAAAUAGUAAAUUAUAGAAUGUACUUAUAAAAUAUUAAGUGCUCAUUUUAGUCUGACAUGGAAGAGAAAUAUAAAUUCUUAGAAUUAGGUAGUUGGCCAGCACCACAGCUCACUAGGCUAAUCCUCUGCCUGCGGUGCUGGCACCUGGGUUUUAGUCCCGGUUGGGGCACCAGAUUCUGUUCCGGUUGCUCCUCUUCCAGUCCAGCUCUCUGCUAUGGCCUGGGGAAGGCAGUGGAGGAUGGCCCAAGUGCUUGGGCCCUGCACCCACAUGGGAGACCAGGAGGAAGCACCUGGCUUCUGUUCGGCACAGCACGCCGGCUGCAGCGCGCCAGCCGUAGUGGCCAUUUAGGGGUGAACCAACGGAAAAGGAAGACCUUUCUCUAUGUCUCUUUUUUUCAGGGUCUAACUCUGCCUGUCCAAAAAAAAAAAAAAAAAAAAAACGGAAUUAGGUACAUUAGGUACUUUAUAGCAGAGUCUAGCCACAGGCUGGCAGCUCAACACACAUUUGAAUGGUUCUCUAAACUCCUAGUUAAAAAAAUUGGUUAGAUUUGGGAGUAUAAUAUAGUGUAGUUUAUAUGGGAAUAUUGAACUAGGUGUCAAUUGGACAGACUAUUUAAAAAACUACAUUUAGAAUUAAUGUAAAACUUGAUAUCUUGUAUGUUUGCAUUCUUCUUAUAGUCUGAAGUUUCUUUGAGAAUGUGGAAUUUGUUACUGCUUCAGAUUUUUAUAGGUUGAUGGGGAAAAGGACAAAUUUUUAAAAGAUAAUAGUUUUUGAACUAGUAUAAGCAGUUUGCCCUUCCUCCCUCCCUCCUUCCCUCCCUCCCUCCCUCUUUUCUUCCCUCCCUCCUUCCUUCCCUCCUUCAUUCUUUCCUCCCUUCUUCCAAUAUUUUAUUUAUUCGGAAGGCAGAGUUACAGAGAGAGAGAGAGAGAUUCCAUUUGCUGGUUCACUCUCUAAAUGGCCACAACAUCUUAGAACUCAAUCUCAGUCUCUCAUGUGGGUGCCAAGGGCCCAAACACUUGGGCCAUCUUCCACUGUUUUCCCAGGUGCAUUAACCAGGAGCUGGGUCAGAAGUGUAGCAGCUGGGACUCCAGCUGUCACUCAGAUGGGAUGCCGGCAUAACGCUAGCCCCCAAAGGAAAUAUUUCUUAAGUGUUUUGCAAGUACUUUGGAUUUCUCCAAUACAAAAGUGAAGAAAGAAAAGAAAAGGUGGGGUGAGGGGAGGGAGGAAGAAAUAGAAAACUGCACGUUGUCAGGUAAUGUGGUUUCUCCUUGUUCAUGUUCAUGACUUUGUCCAGUACCUGGUGCUUGGUAUUUGUCCAAUGAACUUGUUUUUUGCUUUUUAAAAUUACUUUUACUGAGUUAUACUUUACAAAAAAACACCCCAAAGUAUGCAGAUCUUACUAUACAAUUUGACCAGUUUUUAGAAAUGAGUAUUCACAAAUGACCCAGAUCUAAAUUAAGGCAUGGAGUAGCAUGAUCCUCCACGUUUCCCCAAGUUCCCCCGAGCCCUUUCCCGGCAAACAUGCUCCCUCCACCCUGGGAGGCACUGGCUGUUCUGACUUCUGUCAUCACCUGUUGAUUUUGAACUUCGUGUGCUUGGAACCAUUGUGUACAGGCUCACUUAUGUUUGGCUUCUUUCACUCAGGGUAGAAUCUGGGAGAUUCAUCUAUGUUGUUGAUGCGCCAGUGCUAAAUAGAGCUUUACUGUCUGAACACCCCCGAAUUUGCCUUUGCUUUCUCCUGUUGAUGGCCAUUUGGGUUACUUCCAAUUUUAGGUUAUUAUUAAUAAAGUUAUCAUUAACCAUUGUGUACAAACCUUGGGGUAAACAUGAUGUUUUCUUUUUUUGUAAAUACCUACGAGUGGAAUUAUUGGGUCAAAGGAUCAGAAUGUUUUCUUUUUAAUUUAAUCUUUUGUUAUGUGUGAAGUUAUAUCUCAUUAUGGUUUGAACUUUUAUUUCCCUGAUGUUGAGUUCCUUUUCAUCUGCUUACUGCCCAUUUAUAUGUAUCCUUCAGGGAAGCGUCUGUUCAAGCCUUCUGCCCAUUUUUAUGGAGGUGUCUUUUUUAUUGAGUGAUAAGAGUUCCUUAUACAUAAGUCUUUUGUCUGCUGUGUGAUUGGGUGUAUUAAUUCAUAGUGGCUUUUCAUUCUUGGGGAGCCCAGAAGCAGUAACUCAAGGGAGUUGCUGUUUCACACAUUAUUCCUUUAUAGGACUGUAUAAGUGUGGCGAGUUGGGAAGGGCAGAAGAUGGAGGGCAAGCAGCAAGAGAGAAUUUCUAUCAUUGUUCUUCCCUGCUGUCUUCUAAGAAAUAUUUUUUCCUUUCCAAAAGGCUCUCACUCAUGGGUUCCCAGAAGACCCAGAAGACUUUGGUCUGUGUCUUGUUUACAAGAACUAGGUUACUUGUCUAUAUCCACAGUUGCAAGGGAGGCUAAAAAGUCUCUCUCUCUCUCUCUCUCUCUCUCUCUUCUUCUUCUUCUUCUUCCUCUUCCUCUUCCUCUUCCUCUUCCUCUCUCUCUAAGAAAAGUAAAGUCUUUAUGGUUGUAGGUAGAUGGAUGAGAGUGGGGUUAAGAAUGCUUGAGCCUACUGAUAGCCAGACAAGGUCAGAGUGUCUUGGGAGAAAAAACAUACCAGGCUCAGCAUUGCCUGUUCAGGGAACUGGUGUCAUUUUGAGGGGAAAAAUGAAUCUGUUGCCUGAAGGAUCUUUGCGGGUAUCUAUUUGAAUGUGUUGGUAGCCAACAGGCAGAACAUCUGAGCUGGGACUUUGAUUUGGAUGUACCAGUGAGUAGAUGGUGCCUGGAACUUUGGUGAUUGAGAUUGCUCAGUGAUAGUUUAUAAAAUAUGAAGAAGGCAGAAUUCUGGCCCUGGGGAAAACGUGAUAUGCAGAGGAAAUUGAUUUCCCAAAUAGGGAACUACAGUGUCUAUGUAGGAUGGGGACGACCACCAGAAGAGUAGAGAUAGUGUUGAUUUCAGGAAUUUCAGAAAGCAGAGACUGGUGACUGGGGUGCAGAGUCCUACAGAAGCCAUUGCUAAGAUGUCAGUCAUAGCCACUUGAAUUUGGCAGUUAGGAUGAUAUUAUGAAUCUUCUCAGAUAGCUAUUUGGAGUAGAGGGAGUAGAAGCCAAAUUACUGUCCCUUGACCGGAAAUCUGAGGUGGUGAAUGUAGUGAUAAUGGAUGAGAGUACAGAGGUUCCCCUAAUCCAUGAUUUAACUUUCCUUGCUUUCAGUUAGCCACAGUUGACCACAGUCUGAAAACAUUAGACAGAAAAGUUCAGAAAGAAGCAAUUCCUAAGAAUUAAAUUGCAUGUUCUGAGUAGUGUGAUGAGAUCUGACUCCAUCUAAACCCUGGACGUGAAUCAUCCCAUUGUCCAGCAUAUCUGCACCAUGUAUGUCAGCCACCUGCUAGUCACUUGGUAGUCAGCUGAGUUAUCAGAUCUACUGGUGUGGUAUGGCAGUGCUUAUGUUUUAGUAAGCUUUAAGUAGGGCUCUAACGCUGAGUCCCAAUGCCUGUGUCAUUCAACUCCAUCUCAUCGUGCAGGUGUUGAAUCGUUUCACAUCAUCACUAGAAGUAGGUGAAUAGAGUCCAAUAAGAUAUUUUGAGAUAGAGAUCACAUUCACAUAACUUCUUUAUAUUGUUAUAAUUGUUCUAGUGUACUGUUGCUAUUCUCUUACUGUGCCUAAUUUAUGAAUUAAACAUACGUAUCAUAAGUUUGUGCUUAUAGGAAAAAAAGCAUGGCAUAUCUAGCAUUAGGAGCCCUAUUUGUGAUUUCAGUCUCCCCCUGAAGUCUUAGAACACAUCUGACCCAAAUAAGGAGGGACUAUUGUACUUUACUAAGAAGUUUAUCAAUUACUUCAUUAAUUUUUUUCCUAUGUUGGAAAACCAUUGAAAUAGCUAUAGAAACUGAAGAUAGAGGAGAGAGAAAGGAGUUAUCUUUUUUAAUACAGAGUAGGAAGGGGCUCCCGUCUUAACAGACCAGAGGAAUUUAGCAAAGAAUAAGGGACACUUUAUCCUGAAGGGUGGAGGAAAGGACGGGUACAGUAUUUGUGAGGCAAGGUAGUGUUGAGUGGAGGGCAGGUCUGUCUGGAAGCGGAAGAGAGUCUCUUGUCUGCCACUAUUUUCUUUUAGCUGAUAGGGGCUGAGAUCCAUUGGCUUUGAGAUGGGAGAACUGUUCUGUCUUCCUUGGCUCUUUUUAACUCUACUUUUAUCAGGAUACAAUAUUUUGGAAACAUUACUUACCAGUUAGGAAAACAGCACCUGUUGAUGUCAGUAAAGCUGACAGUUUGUUUAUGUUUAGUGCAUUCAGUCUGAUAAUGUGUCAGCCUGUGUGCUCCGAUGGGUUCAAGAUCAAAGGUGACUGAGGUUUGAUCAGCUGGAACAUUUUUGGCGUGGAGAAGGAGAGAGAGCGAGCGAGCCCAAGAGUGUGUGUUUGUGUUUGUGUGUGUGUGUGUGUGUGUGUGUGUGUAGAAAGAGAGAGAGAGUGCACAAUCCCAACUCAACUGCUGGUCAGGUCCUCAAUGUCCACAGUGUUCUGGGAGCUGGGACCUCAAUCCAGGUCUCCCACAUGGAUGGCAGAAACCCAACUACUUGAGCCACAACUGCUGCCUCCCACAGUGUGCACCUGCAGGAAGCUGAAAUCAGGAGCAAGAGCCCAGUAUUAAACCCAGACAGUCUCAUGUGAACCAGCAGCUUAGCCUUUGGGCCAAAUGCCUAGCCCUAAUAAGUGUUUUAACAUGCUUACUACAUGCUAGGCAUUUUGAUAGGUGCUGUGCAAAUAUUAAGAAGUUAAAGAAAAAGUUUGAUGCCUAACUUUGAAAGUCGGGAUGCUAGGUUCUUGUCGCUUACAGCUCUGCCACUCUGUAAUGUAAGGGAACUUCUGGCCUUAAGGUUUCCUCGAGAGCAUCAAGAUGCAGGAGGAUCUGGAAAAAAAGAAUAGAUGCAUGGUAUACACAAUAACAGCAGUGGAGGAAGGUUGCAAAUAUGCGUAGUGCUUCAGCACUUUACAUGGUAACACAGGAAGCUGUAAGAAAGGGUUAUUUGCAGUUACCCCUGAGGGGAUACUCUGUGUAGUCUGAGUCUUACUGAUGAGAAUUUCCAAGUCCCACUAGAAUUCUAUCAGGUAUUUAUGAUGAAAGAGAGCAUUCCAGAUCCAAAACUGAACUCCUUCCAAAAUGUCACUGAGUUUUUAAGGAGAAUAGCUUAAAUAUAAGGAAAGAGUGUUGUCUACAUCAGUGUUUUACUUCAGUUCAUGAGUAAAAGUGGUUAUAUGGGCAUCUUCUAUUUUGUGAUGAAUGAGAUAGAUUUUAAUGCCAAAUUCUCAAGUUUUAAAAUAUAUCUUAUCCUGAGGAUAUUUUAAGGGGAUAUCCAUAAUUUCUCCCAAGAGUAGGUGGAGACAAGAAGUAAUUUGACAGAACUUCCAGAUGGCCAUUGAAAAAUAAAUUGCCUUCGAGUUCUUGAUUAUUAACCCCAUGCUUUUUGUUGUAUCUCCAGAGCAAUCCAGUCAUUCUGCCGUAAGGACGAAUGUGCUGGAGCCCAGAUUUAACUUUCUGAAAACAGAUGGUGCAAAAGAAGAAGAGAAGUCUUUUAGCCUUCUCCUAUGGGCAGAGCCCAAACUUAUUUAUUCCCAUCCAAAGGCAGUUUCUCUCUGUUUUGGCCUGACUUCUGGGAGCCCAGAACUCUUAAAAGAUGUUUUCUUGAAAAUAGUGAACUCUUUUCUUGUGUGUCCCAGGGCACUUGGCUGGGGUUCCCGUAUUCUGGCUGCUUGCACUCAUUAAUAUUCAACUUGAUCCAAAGUGGCCGAGAAGACAGCAAAGGGGCUGGAAGUUGGGGCCAGGAAAGAUCCUUCCAGGCUAAAAGGAAAGAUGCAAAUGUCCCCAGGAAUAGUGUGACCAGGUUUCAUUUUCUCAACUCACUUGAAUACUUAAAGCUUUCUACUGCUUUAAAUAGAAAGUUUUUUUUUUUUCUCUUUUUCUUUUGAUGUAGAUUCAAUUAGGAUUUAGCUGCCCUGACUCCUUGACAGUAAGUAUGCUUUUUUGGUUGCUGAAAGUGAAGUGAUGAAUCAAACUAAGAUAAGCCCUGCAUCUCUCUUAUUUACAGAGAUUGACAAAUGUGAAGUUGUUUUAACAACUGCUGUCAGCAAUGUGGCUGAAAUGAAAUUGAUUAUACAAAUGAAAAGUGUCAUGACUUCCGAAUGAAAUUUUUCCUUUUUAGCACAUUGAACAACAUGUUUAUGUAUUCAUCUGAGGAUAUAAUUAUUUCUUUCCAGGAUGAUUUUGAAAACAAUAAUCAACAUAUGCAGUUUGCAGGGCUUUACGGUGUGCAGUCUUUUAGUAGAAACUUUGAUUUGUUUGCUUUUGGGAGAAUGUGAUUGUAUUCUACUGAAGAAAAUCUGGAGAGUAGCUAACGAGUGUUCAGUGCUUCUCUACCUUUACUACUUUAUGAAGUUUGUUUUUAUCAAAAUCCAUUUCUAAUUACCAUCUGUUUACAUAUUAAGGUUUGAGGCUGCAGAUCCUGUUGGAAGAAAAUCCUGUUCUACAAAUGCUUUCGUCACACUUGUCACCACAAUUAACUCUGUGCAUUAAAAGUAUUUUGGCAGUUGCUUCUCUUUACACUUCAAAAAGUUCAUGGAAAACAUUAUUUAAUUUAAUUAAUUAAUUUAUUUAAGAGGCAGAGUUGCAGACAGAGAAAGAGAAAGAGAGAAAAAAGUCUUCCAUCUGCUGGUUCACUCCCCAAAUGUCCACAGUGGCCAGAGCUGGGCCUAUCUAAAGCCAAGGGCCAGGAGCUUCUGCUGGGUCUUCCAUGCGGGUGCAGAGACCCAGCACUUGGGCCAUCUUCCACUGCUUUCCCAGGCCAUAGCAGAGAGCUUGAUUGGAAGUAGAGCAGCCGGGACUUGAACUGGCACCCAUAUGGUAUGCUGGUGCCGCAGACGGAGGCUUAGCGUACUGUGCCAAGGUGCCGGCCCCCACAGAUAUUUUUAAAUUCCAUUUUCCAUGAACUUUUUAAAAUCCCCUUGUAGUAUUGAUAUAAAAUUACUGAAAGUAAAUACAUUUGGUACUUUCAAGUCAUCAUGGGAUCUGACCUUCAAAGAAACAAUUAGUGCUGGCAAUUUCUUGCUCCUUCUAGGUUUAGUUGUCAUGCAUAGCUUCUUGGCUGGGUUGAUGGAAACAGAUAGCUCCUGCAUGGAGGCUGACUAUUCUGUCACCUCAGCAAGGGAAUAGUCUUACAUGUGCAGUGGUGGGGCUUCUUGAGGUUCUUCGAGUUGGGCACUUUCUUUGAGGUAGCUACCAGGGAGCUCAGCUGUGCUUCCUCAUUGAGGUUCUGCCCGUGUCUCUCCGAGGUUGAUGGCAAUGUUGGAAGUAGUGGCACUGAGUGGUGACAUGGCCAGGAUUUUCUUCUUACUCUUGUCAGGGUUUUGAUAAAAAUACUGAGUUUAUUUAGCAUUCAUUCAUCCCACAAUUUUAUUAAGAGCUGAGUUAUGUGCUGAGGGUAACAAUUUUGUGGAGUUUUUCAUAAUAGUUUCUGCUAACCAGUGUGGCUUUUUAAAUGACUUAUUGUCUUCAUCAGUGGCUACCAUGGGAAGAGAAAUGGAGGAAUUUUUUUUUUUUAAAUCUUUUUCUGUAUUUGAAAGAGAAGGAGGAGAGAGAGUUUCCCCCAUCUGCUGAGUCACUCCCCAGAUACCCACAAUAACCAGGGCGGGGGCAGCUUGGAGCUUGGAGCUGGGAGCUCAGUCUGGGUGGCCGAGAUCCAGCUCCUUGAGCCCCCACCAGUGGCCUCCCAGAAUGUGCAGCAGGAGAAAGCUAGAGUUGGGGGUGCAGCAGGACUCCAGUGCCGGCAGUCCGAUAUAGGAUCUAGGUGUCCCAAGUACUGACUUCACGCUGCACCAAACACCUACUGCAAAUGGAUUGAGUUGAUAAAUUAAUUUUUCUUUUAGUCUAUUUAUACAUCUUGUACAUUUUAAUAUUUUAAUCUAUAUGUCAUAUAAUAUUAAUCAUGGUAAAUGUACCCAUCUUCUCAUUUAACAUUUUUUAUGAUGAAAACAUUGAAAAUCCUAACAGUUUUUGUUAAUAGAGAAAAGCUCAGUACAUUAAUAUCUGUAGUCACCCUACUGUGCAAUAGCAGCCCAGAGCCUCCUACUGGUCCUGUGACUUAGUACCUCUUCACCAGCCUUUCUCCUUCCCACACUUCCUGCUAAAUGAAUUUCUUGUCUGGCAUGCUAUGAUAUAUUCUGAGCACUGAGAAUUCAGAAUUUUUUCUUCCUUGAUGAUUGGUUUAUAUGUGUCUAUGUAUGAAUGAUGCUUUGUCCUAAUGUAAAUUCAACUCUACUAGUAGUUAAACUAGUACCAUAUUAAUAGUCUAAGGUGUUAUAAAAUGGGCUAUAUUGAUCUAGCUUACUGUUAUCACUGCUGUUGAAAAAUGUCUAUCUUGGUGCUGGUGUUAUGGUGCAACAAGUUAAGCCACAGCCUGUGAGCUAGCAUCCAUAUGAGCACCAAUCCAGCUCCCUGCUAAUGUGCCUGGGAGAGCAGCAGAAGAGGGCCCAAGUCCUUGGGCCCCUACUGCCCACUUGGGAGACCCAGAACAAGCUCCAGGCUCCUGGCUUUGGUCUGGCCCUACCUUGGCCAUUGAAGUCAUUUGGGGAGUAAAUUAGCAGGUGGAAGAUCUCUCUCCUUAUCUCUGUUCUCCCUCUCCCCAUAACUCUGCCUUUCCAAUAAACAAAUAAUUCUUAAUCUGUAUAUCUAUAAUUUCUAUAUGCCUCGUAUGGAAACAUCUAGAGGAAGCAAACAGGCAGAGGAGGUUUUGUAUUCCAUCCCUACCUACUGUUCAUCUACAAGGGAGAAUAGAGUCAUGAAUAUUCUAUGUAGUAAUACUGUUGGGCUAUUUGAAAUACUUUUUAUAUAUUAACUUUAUCACUAAAAUACAGGCCCAAAGAGAUAAUUUUCUUAAUUAUGGUAAUCUCUAGAAAUGGACAAAUUGCACUUGGGAUAGCUUGAGAACUGCAUGUGUAGAUGUAGAAUUUUAGUCCUAUUCCUCUUUGGAGCAGGUUUGACAUUAGCUUGGCCUUUUUGCAGAGAGUGAUGUUACAUAGAAAGAUGGUUUCUCAUCAACAUCUCAUUAAUCCUCAUACUUGCAUUGCCCUUGGGGGAAAAAAUGACAAGGUUCCAAGUUUCUCUGUGCGGAAAGUAGGAAGUAAGCCUGACAUGGUUGUGCGUAUUUUAUGUGCAGCAGAAUUUUAUUCUUUCAGUAAGAUUGUGUAUGUGAUAUACAAUUAUGUUUUUGUUCAGCUUCAAUUGAUUAUUGGCAGUGAUUGUUACGAUCAAAAAAUGUUUCUCUGGUUAUGUAAAUAAUUUUUUGCUAAUGCUGAAAGUUUGGAAGGGACAGGAUCUUACCACAUGGCAUUGAGCCCUCAGUUCCUGAUGGAUCCAAAGGGUGUUUUUAAUUUUUAGUACUUAAAGCCUGGCCUUCAGAGAGAAAAGUCAGGUGUGUGUGAUGAGUUCUCAAGAUUUAUGGACUAUGCAAUCAGCCCAUCUCCCGGUGUCAACUGGGAGAAAAUGACUGGCUAUUUUAAGAUUGUGCCUUUGAAAAGCAGAGAGUCCUACGUUCACACCCAACUGAAAGAGUGGGUUCCCGAAGGGAAGUGAAAGUUUUAAGAAUUCAGUGGACGGAUGAGGAAGGGCCGAAUGGUUAUUUCCAGAUGUUCCUCCCCCAGAUCAGCAUUGAUUUGUUGGCUAGGAAGUCAGAUGGGAUUAUUUGGCCACCUGAGUGCCAAGGAUCAUUUGAGCAAUUAAAACCAGACUGUCCAGAGACAGCCCCCUGCCUGGUGUGGAUUCUGACAACGGAUUGCUCUACCCCUGGGCCAAUGCUGAAGGCAGGAGAGGAGCCCUCCUCAGCAGUACUUCUCCACUGAGAAAAGCCUUGGUUCAGCAGAUGUUUCUGAGUUGACCCUGUGUUCUUCACAGCACGGCCUUGUUAACUCUCCCAGAACGUAACAGGGACAGAAAGGGACUCCUGUUCCCGGGGAGUUUACUGUCCGUCACAGACAUCGUGGGGCGUGGUGGAAAGUUCUAGAGGGAAGUGUGGGGAGGACCUGAGCUCUGGAGAAGAAGUGUCCAGCCAGCCUCAGAUGCAGAAAUUUAUCCGUUCACUCAGUUGGCUCUUUACUGCAUGCCUCCCUGGAAAAAGUUCAGGAAAAACCUCUACGUUCAAGUGGUAAAGAGAGGGUACAGGGGUUUCAGAAAUCUGGUUCUGAUGAGUCUUCUGCCAAGGACCUGCUGUGGUGUUUGCAAACAUCCCUUCUGCUGCCAUUCUCGGGAAAUAGGAACUUCCUCCAUUCCUUCAUUUGCAUGGGGAAGACAUGUUAGACAGGAUUCAGCUUUACUUACUCCAGGUGGGAGAAAUGUGAGAAGGAGGGCAUUCCUGAGCAGGCAGAGGCAGAGUGACUCGAGUGUCACUCAGCGCAGGGUUUCUGAGUGACAUUAAUUGGGAAAAAUGGGACACCCAUUGUCCUGCCGUGACACCGCAUGCUUUCCCUGUGUAGUGUAAUUCCAUCCGCUCUGGACAGGUACAACCCUCAGCUCUCGAGUGCCAGGCAGAGUCCCAGACUCAGCAGGGCUCUUCAAAGAGUUUAUGGAAAUGGUAUUUUGUGAAAAAACUAUGCGUGGAUUUCAAAAAAAAAUUUUUUUACAGCCAAUGUAAACUUGAUCCUUUUAAAAAAGCUUAUUUAUCAGGGCAGCUUUGUGGUGCAGUGGAUUAAGCUGCCGCCUGUGACACUGGCAUCCUAGCCAGAGUCCUGACUACUGUUUCCAAUCCAGCUCCCUGCCAACGUAUGAGGGAAGGCGGUGGAGGAUGGCCCAGGUGCUCGGGUUCCUGCCACGCAUGUGGGAAACCUGGAUGAAGCUCCUGAUUUCUGCCUUUGGCCUGACCCAGCCCUGGCUAAUUGAGGCCAUUUGGGGAGUGAACCAGUGGAUGGAAGAUCUUUCUCUCCUGCUCCCUCCCUUCCCUCCUCCCCCAUCACUCUACCUUUCAAAUAAAUACAUCUUUUUUUUUUUUAAUUAUUUUAUUUAUUUAUUUGAGAGGUAGAGUUAAAGAGAGAGGGAGAGAUGGAGAGAAAUGUCUUCCAUCUGCUUGCUGGUUCACUCCCCAAAUGGCCACAAUGGCUUGAGCUGGAUUGAUCUAAAUCCAGGAGCCAGGAGCUUCUUUUGGGUCUGCUACAUGGGUGCAGGGGCCCAAGCAUUUGGGCCAUCCUCCACUGCUUUCCCAGGCCAUAGCAGAGAGCUGGAUUAGAAGAGGAACAGCUGGGAUAUGAACCAGUGUCCGUAUGGGAUGCCUGCACUGCAGGCAGAGGCUUAGCCCACUAUGCCACGUCGCCAGCCCCAAUAAAUCUUUUAAGAAAAGUUUAUUUACUUGAAAGUUACACUGACAGAGAGAUCAUCCCUCAUGGAGACUCGUGCUAAUAACAAUGUAUUGCAUACUCGAAAAUCACCAAGAAAGUACAUUUUAAAUGUUUUCACUACAAAAAAAGAAGUGAGGUAAUGGAUAUAUAAUGGAUAUGUUAAUUGGAUAUGUAGUGGAUAUGUUAAUGAGGUUGCCAUAUUCAAACCAUAUUGCAUACGUGUGUCAGCACAACAUGCUCGCACCAUCCACAUUCACACACAAUUUUUAUUUGUCAUUUACAUAAGUGAAUAAACAGAAAGCCAGGCAGGUACUGUCAAGGCUGCCAACUGAGCAGCCAUGCGCCACACCACAGCGCGGCUGCCGCUCAUCUCCAGCCACUCCCCUGCCUCCCGUGGCAGGCCUCUCGGUUUCUGAGCGUCUUGCCUAGCUGACCCCUCUUCACCACACCAAUUCAGCCUUUCAUUUUCUUUUUCUCUGCUCCCCAUGACACCAGGGCCCCUUCGCUGGCCUUUGGUCUGCCUUCUCAGGUGCACCUGCUGAAUGGCAUGCUGUUUUGUAAACGCCCAGUGCACACCUGUUGGAGGUUCUUGGCAGCAGCCUCUCAUCUCUCACUGCUCUUUUCCCCAGGAAGCACCCUGGACGCAGCUGGCUGCCUCAGUGCCCUGUGGGGUGCUUGUGCGCCUCACCCCCCUGACCUCUCCUUUUCCUUCUUCCUUCAACUCCUCUGUCCCGCUGCCUUCUCUGUCUGUUCUUGCUCUCCUGCCUGUCCUGUCCACCACACCCACCAUAGCCACCCACAGGCGAGCUCCUCGUGCGCUGUGUCGUGAACCCUACGACCCCUUGGGAGCACACACGAUUUUGGUUUAUCUCCGAUAGCUGGGCUGCUGCCAAGUGCAGGAUCUUGUCAUGAUGAGGCAUAAUUGUAGUUGUUUAUCAACUUGAAUGGGUUACACUGACUAGGAAAUUUCACUUGCUUUUGUGGGGUUAUGAAAAGACAGCUAAGUCUUUGGCUUUUUUCCUCUGGAGCUCAGGUACAUGUCACAUUUCUCGGUUUGUGGUAAAUUCCUGUCAUUUGUCAUAGCUGUCUCCCUUUUGUAUAUUUAAUAAUAAGUGCAUACUUGUGAGACUCCCACCCUGUGUGAGAACCUUGAACAUCUUAUUGAUCCUUAACUACAUGUUCAUACUUCACUCCUACCUGCUUCCUGCCUCCCUGCCCAUCCUUGGCUAAUUCUUCUUCUUCUUCCUUUUUUUUUAAAGAUGUAUUUAUUUGAAAGGCAAGGUCACAGAGGUGGGGGUUGGGGUGUCUUCCAUCUGCUGGCCACAAAUGGCUGGUGUUGGGCUGAUCCAAAUCCAGGAGCCUAGAGCUUCUUCCAGGUCUCCAGUGUGGGUACAAGAGCCCAAGGACUUGGGCCAUCCUAUGCUGUUUUGCCAGGCCAAAGCAGAGAGCUAGAUGGGAUGCCUGUGUGGCAGGUGGCAGCUGUACCCGCUAUGCCAUAACACUGGCCCUGUGAUUAGUAUUUGUAGGGAGAUACCUGCUUCGCCAUGUUACUGCUUACUUCUGAUACCACUCGUGUUUAGAAUGAUGUACCUUUACAGCCUUCCUGCCGGCUACGGUAGCUUUCCCUUAUUCAUGCAGGAUGUGUUCUAAUACCCCCAGUGGGUGCCUGAAACUGUGGUAGUACCGACUCUCUCUGUAUGUGCACAGUGUUUUUUUCUGUGCAUGCAUUCCUAUGAUAAAGUUUAGUUUAUAAAGCAGGCACCUAAGAGAUAAUAACAAUAAUAAAACAGCAAUCAUGCUAAUAUACUGUAAGUUAUGUGAACCUGUUUUUUUUCUGUCUCUCAAAACGUCUCCUGAGUCCUGUAGCUGUUGGCAGCCUCGCCGUAUGAUUUUUGUUUGCUUAUAAAGUGGGAGAACUUUCACCUGGUACUUUAAGGAAGCACUUUGUGACUUCUCUUUGGCACAUCUGAAUUGGCAGCAUCAUUGCUCCGAUGCUCUUGGACCAUUAUUCGGUCCAGAGCUCCUUGAGCGCAGGGAGUCAGCUUGGUCCCACAGGGCUCGGCAGUGACUGACGGGUGUAUGGUGCCGACAGCAUGGAUGCUAUGGACAGGGGAACGGUUCAUGUCCAAGGCAGAGGGCAGGGGUGCAGGGCAAGAUUUCAUCACCCUAUUCAGAAUAACCCACAAUUUAAAAGUUAUUUUAUUUCUGGAAUCUUCCAUUUAAGAGUCUCAGACCUUUGUUGACUAUAACUGAAACCACAGGAGUGAAACCUUGGAUAACAAAGGACUAUUGCACAGCUCUAUGCUGCAGAAUCUGAUGUUAAUAUAAGAAAUCAAGGUGGUUUUUCUUUUUGUAAAUGUCUGAUUGUAUAUGUGUGUGUGUGUGCGUGUGCACGCGCGUGCUUAAGAUUGAUUUAUUUGAAAAGCAGAGCUGCAGAGAGAGAGACUUAGGGAGAGACAGGGAAAGAGAUCUAUCCACUGGUUCACUCCCCAAAUAGCAGCAAUGGCCAAAGCUGGGCCAAUUCCAAGCCAGGAGCCUGGGGCUUCGUUUGGGUCUUCCAUGUGAGUGCAGGGGUCUAGUCACUUAGGCCAUCUUCCUCUGCUGUCCCAGUGCAUUAGCAGGGAGCUGGAUCAGAAGUGGAACAGCUGGGACUUGAACAAGUGCCACUGCAGGCAGUGACUUUACCCCUAGGGCACAGCACCGGUUCCCCCCACUCCCGGGUUGUCUGUCUGUUGGUCUUUCUUAUUUAUUUCUUUGAAAGGAGAAGUUACAGAGGCAGGGGGUUGGGGGAAUCUUCCAUUUGCUGGUUCACUCCCAAAUGAUCACAACUGCCAGAGCUGUGCCCAUCUGAAGCCAGGAGCCAGGAGCUUCUUCUGGGUCUCCCACACAGGUGCAGAGGCCCAAGGACUUGGGCCGUCUUCUACUGUUUUCUCAGGCCAUAGCAGAGAGCUGGAUCAGAAGUGAAGCAGCUGGGACUUGAACUAGUGCCCAUAUGGGAUGCCGGCACUACAGGCGGCAGUUUUACCUGCUAAGCCACAGCACUGCCCCCUCAUUGUGUUUCAAAGUCUGUUCAGAAUGAAGUAUGUCUCAGAAUUUUCUUUGCCAAUAUUUUUUCUUAAGUAACAUUUCAGCUUUAUCUGUAUUUUAAAAUUUGCUUAUGAUAGAGUAAACAUAUUUGACAAAUUAAAUUUAGAAUGGGUUUUGAUAAAAAGUAUAAUUAUAUAAUGCUGAAACUAUUUGAAAUAAGAAGUAUAAAAAUCAUAAUGUGUGGUCACUUUAAAUAAAGAGAUGAUUUGUUAUUUAAAAGAUUGUCAGAUUUUACCAGUUCAUUCCCUUGAAGCUUUUAUUUUUUUAUUUUUUUAUUUUUUGACAGGCAGAGUGGACAGUGAGAGAGAGAGAGACAGAAAGAAAGGUCUUCCUGUGCCAUUGGUUCACCCUCCAAUGGCUGCCACAGCUGGUGCGCUGUGGCCGGCGCACCGCGCUGAUCCGAAAGCAGGAGCCAGGUGCUUCUCCUGGUCUCCCAUGGGGUGCAGGGCCCAAGUACUUGGGCCAUCCUCCACUGCACUCCCUGGCCACAGCAGAGAGCUGGCCUGGAAGAGGGGCAACUGGGACAGAAUCCGGCACCCCUACCGGGACUAGAACCCGGUGUGCCGGUGCCGCUAGGUGGAGGAUUAGCCUGUUGAGCCAUGGCGCCGGCUUAAAAGUAUCUUUUAACCCUGCACAUAAAUUGUUUAUUUUAUUAAUUUAUUAAUUGGAGAAGCACAGAGAUAGAGGCAAAGGGGGAUCACUCCCCAAAUGCCCACAAUGGCUGGGACUGGCUGGUCCAAAGCUGUGAGCCAACAAUUCAAUCCAGCUUUCCCACAUGGGUGGCAGGUACUCCAUUCCAUGAGCCAUCAUUGCUGCUGCCCAGGGUCUGCAUUAGCAGGAAGCUGGAGUCCGGAGCUGGAGCCAGGUACCAAACCCAGGUGCUCCAAUAUGAGACACAUGUGUCCUAAUGAUGUCCUCAUCUCUAGGCCAGAUGCCCUCCCCAGUUGUUCAUUUUUAGGAAUCAUCUUAGUACAGGGUUGACUCCUAGCUACACUCCUGGUUUUAACUUCCUGCUAGUGUGUACCCUGGAGGCAGUAUGUGGUGGCUGACAUAGUUGGCUCCCUGCUACCCAUAUGGGAGACCUGGAUUGAGUUCUAGGGUCCUGACUUCAACUUGGACCCCAGCUUUUGUGGGCAUUUGUGGAGUUACUCAGUAGAAGUGUGAUCUCUGUCUAUCUUGUUCUCUCUGUCUCUUUGCCUUUCAAAAUAAAGUAAAUAAAGUAGAAGAAUAAUCUACUCUUUUUGUCAACUUCAUUGCAUUUUCCCUAUUAUGUUUAUUUUUAAUUUUAAUUUUCUUUUUCUAGGUUUUUUUUUGGGGGGGUUGCUACUUUGUCCCAUUUUAAGUUCUUUAUCAAGAGGCUUGGUUCAUUAUGCUUUUGUUUUUUAGCUUUAGUUUUGUUAUCAGUCUAAUUGCUCAGUCUUAGAGCAAGUCUAAGUACCAUUGGCAGCUUUUUAUGUGUUUUGCUGUGUUAUCUAUUAAAAUACUAUAUUACAAGUUUCUUGCUGGGUUUGGACUCUAAGAUAUUUUGUUCUUUAUUUUUUAUAUAUUUGAAUGUUAUUCAGAAUUGUUUUUUUCUCUAAUUUGUCAUACUAACAGCUGACAUAGGUCACAUUUUUCACUUAGUACGUGAUCCAUUUUUGUAGAUGAUUCCAUUAGGAUUGAAAAAUCAUUCCUUUAUCUCUCCUGACAGGUUAUUCAAGGCCAAUUUUAUUGUGUACUUGAGCUAUUAUUACAGCAAGGGACUUUCAAAUCUUAAGUUACUCUCCGAGGUUUCUCUCUUCUAUGUCAGCCCUACCCUCUCACUUUUGUUAACAUUGCUGCCAAGAUUUCAUUUAUACACAUCUUUAUUUGCUCUAGAUCAGAAUUUAGGUUUCCCUUAUUUUUUAUUAAAUUUUUAAAAAAGAUUUAUUUAUUUGAAAGAGUUGCAGAGAGAGAGAGAGAGAGAGAGAGAGAGAGAGAAUCUCCCAUCCACUAGUUCACUCCCCAAGUGGCUGCAACAGCUAGGGCUGGGCGAGGCCAAAGUCAGGAGCCAGGAGCUUCAUCAAGGUCUCUCACAUGAAUGCAAGGGCCCACAUCUUGGGCCAUCUUCUGGGCUUUCUGAAGCACAUUGUCAGGGAACUGGAUUAGAAGUAGAGUAGCGGGAGUCAACUGGUGUCCCUGUGGUAUGCCAGUGUCACAGAUGGCUUCACCCAUUGCUCUACUCUGGUCUCCAUACAAACUGAGUACAUAUGGGACUAUAUUUAAUUUGCAUGGUUUUUUGGUUAGGUAAUCAAGAAAUUCAGUAGUACUUUUCACAAACAGUAAGUUUAUUCUAUUUGCAUUUUUCUUUUUUUCCUCCCCAUAGGAAAUUUUUUUAAGAUUUAUUUAUUUAUUUACUGAUUCCCAUGGGCCAUCAACAGGGAGCUUGAUUGGAAAUGGAACAGCCACAGGCCGGCGCCGUGGCUCAAUAGGCUAAUCCUCCACCUAGCGGCGCCGGCACACCGGGUUCUAGUCCCGGUCGGGGCGCCGGAUUCUGUCCCGGUUGCCCCUCUUCCAGGCCAGCCCUCUGCUGUGGCCAGGGAGUGCAGUGGAGGAUGGCCCAAGUGCUUGGGCCCUGCACCCCAUGGGAGACCAGGAGAAGCACCUGGCUCCUGCCAUCGGAUCAGCGCAGCGCGCCGGCCGCGGCGGCCAUUGGAGGGUGAACCAACGGCAAAGGAAGACCUUUCUCUCUGUCUCUCUCUCUCACUGUCCACUCUGCCUGUAAAAAAAAAAAAAAAAAAAAAAAAAAAAACGGAAAUGGAA